rnacentral:rRNA from 1 species
AACGUAGGAGACAAACGUUAUCCGGAGUUACUGGGCGCAAAGGGCGUGUAGGUGGUUUCGUAAGUCUGGCGUGAAAUUUUUCGGCUUAACCGGGAAAGGUCGUCGGAUACUGCGGAACUAGAGGACGGUAGAGGCGUGUGGAAUUCCGGGUGUAGUGGUGAAAUGCGUAGAGAUCCGGAGGAACACCAGUGGCGAAGGCGACACGCUGGGCCGUACCUGACACUGAUGCGCGACAGCAUGGGGAGCAAACAGG